rnacentral:rRNA from 1 species
AUUGAACGCUAGCGGGAUGCCUUACACAUGCAAGUCGAACGGAGGGGCGAACGGGUGAGUAAUGUAUCUGAACGUGCCCAGUAGCGGGGGAUAACUACGCGAAAGCGUAGCAAAUACCGCAAAAUAUUGGAGCGGCCGAAACCGGAUUGGCUGGUUGGUGGGGUAACGGACCACCAAGGCGACGAUCCGUAGCUGGUUUGCGAGGACGACCAGCCACACUGGGACUGAGACACGGCCCAGACUCCUACGGGAGGCAGCAGUGGGGAAUGUUGGACAAUGGGGGCAACCCUGAUCCCGCCAUCCCGCGUGUGCGAUGAAGGCCUUCGGGUUGUAAAGCACUUUUGGCAGGAAAGCGGUACCCGCAGAAUAAGCACCGGCUAACUACGUGCCAGGAGCCGCGGUAAUUC